rnacentral:rRNA from 1 species
UACGUAGGUGACAAGCGUUGUCCGGAUUUACUGGGCGUAAAGAGCGCGCAGGCGGUCGAUCAAGUCGAGUGUGAAAGCCCCCGGCUCAACUGGGGAGGGUCAUUCGAUACUGAUCGACUUGAAGGCAGGAGAGGGUAGUGGAAUUCCCGGUGUAGUGGUGAAAUGCGUAGAGAUGUGGAGGAACACCGAUGGCGAAGGCAGCCCCCUGGGCUAACACUGACGCUCAUGCACGAAAGCGUGGGGAGCAAACAGG